rnacentral:rRNA from 1 species
UGAGAUUGCAGCCCAAAGAGGGUGGUAAACCUCAUCUAAGGCUAAAUACGACCAUGAGACCGAUAGCAAACAAGUACCGUGAGGGAAAGUUGCAAAGAACUUUGAAGAGAGAGUUCAAGAGGGCGUGAAACCGCUGAGAUGGAAACGGAUAGAGUUAACGAAACUUAUCGGUAUUCAACCGAUCAAUUUAGCAUGUCUUUAUAAAAUUAUUAUUCAUGAAUAAUGAGUAAAAUUUUAUUAAAGAUUUCAGUGCUAGAUUUAUCAAUGAUUGGUGUAUUUACCGAUAGUAUGCAUCGAGAGCUUCGUUUUGCAAGCAUAUUGAAGCAAAUUUUUAGUGGACCAAUUAUUUUUAUAAAUAAUUGGAAUCCUAAAAAUUAGUUCAUCAAUAUGUCUUAAAUGAAGUUAUUUUUCCCAAAUGUGUAACUUUCACUUGAAAAAUUAGUGACAUGCAUCGAUUAUAAUUUUUAUUAUAUAUAUUUAACAUGUAGUCGCAUGCGACUUUAAUUGUUAAUAUAUG